rnacentral:rRNA from 1 species
UACGUAGGUGGCAAGCGUUGUCCGGAUUUACUGGGCGUAAAGGAUGCGUAGGCGGACAUUUAAGUCAGAUGUGAAAUACCCGAGCUUAACUUGGGUGCUGCAUUUGAAACUGGGUGUCUAGAGUGCAGGAGAGGUAAGUGGAAUUCCUAGUGUAGUGGUGAAAUGCGUAGAGAUUAGGAAGAACACCAGUGGCGAAGGCGGCUCACUGGACCGGUACUGACGCUGAUGCGCGAAAGCGUGGGGAGCAAACGGG